ACUAAUGCCGGACCGUUAUCUCGUUUCUUCCGUCCUCAACCAACGCAGAUUUUAGUUUUGCCGAGAGAGUUAUCAUCUGCUAACGAACUAACAGGCCGUUCUGAUCCAUCCGUGUUCUGAUCUUUUUUCUUUCGAGGAAGUCCAUCUCUCUCUCUCUCUCUCAUACAACCGGCACCAAGGUGGUAGACAUCUCAGGAGAUUGGUUCAACCUGCGGAAGGGAGAAUACUCCAUGAUUUGCCAUCGCUUUGCUGCUCGGCCGCAUCAGAUUAAAUCUGAUCUCGCUUGCCUCUUUGCAUGGUGAGCAGCAUAUGAUAUUCACAGGAGGGUGGAAGCAGCUCCGAAUAAGUUUUCAAAAGGUUAAAGAUCCUUUCUGGAGCUCGCACAAAAAAGCACGGCAUCAACUCCCACAAAUAUCCCAGCUACUGAUAACAGGAUGUACUCUGCUUUCCAUGUUCACUUCAUGAAGAAUUAGAACGGAAAUCGCUUGGUAAAGCAAGCUUGCAAUGAUUCGCGAGAAUUAAUCAUCUGUCAUUCGGGAAUAAUGAAGCAAUGUUGUCACGCGCUACCUCCAAGAGUGCUCAGGAGAAAUUGGCCGGACCGUCUUACAGCCAAGCGGAAGCAUCCACCAGCUACAGGGGCUUUCAUAGUAUAUUACCAUGUUUCAGCUUAGGGCUACAAUAAAUAAACUUCCAUUUGAUUUCAACGUGUAAUAAAUAAUGUAAUGCCAGAUGUAGGGUUCAAUCCCACACUAGCUAGUGAAAGAUAUGCCCUCGUUCAUAAUUUUAA